CAGUAGCCGCGGUAAUACAGAGGGUGCGAGCGUUAAUCGGAUUUACUGGGCGUAAAGCGUGCGUAGGCGGCUUCUUAAGUCGGAUGUGAAAUCCCUGAGCUUAACUUAGGAAUUGCAUUCGAUACUGGGAAGCUAGAGUAUGGGAGAGGAUGGUAGAAUUCCAGGUGUAGCGGUGAAAUGCGUAGAGAUCUGGAGGAAUACCGAUGGCGAAGGCAGCCAUCUGGCCUAAUACUGACGCUGAGGUACGAAAGCAUGGGGAGCAAACAGGAUUAGAGACCCCAGUAGUCCCUGUCUCUUAUAA
rnacentral:rRNA from 1 species